GACGAACGCUGGCGGCGUGCUUAACACAUGCAAGUCGAACGGAAAGGCCCUGCUUUUGUGGGGUGCUCGAGUGGCGAACGGGUGAGUAACACGUGAGUAACCUGCCCUUGACUUUGGGAUAACUUCAGGAAACUGGGGCUAAUACCGGAUAGGAGCUCCUGCUGCAUGGUGGGGGUUGGAAAGUUUCGGCGGUUGGGGAUGGACUCGCGGCUUAUCAGCUUGUUGGUGGGGUAGUGGCUUACCAAGGCUUUGACGGGUAGCCGGCCUGAGAGGGUGACCGGCCACAUUGGGACUGAGAUACGGCCCAGACUCCUACGGGAGGCAGCAGUGGGGAAUAUUGCACAAUGGGCGGAAGCCUGAUGCAGCAACGCCGCGUGCGGGAUGACGGCCUUCGGGUUGUAAACCGCUUUCGCCUGUGACGAAGCAUGAGUGACGGUAAGGGGUAAAGAAGCACCGGCUAACUACGUGC
rnacentral:rRNA from 1 species